rnacentral:ncRNA from 1 species
UCGUAUAUGUCAGGAAUCCAUUGAUGAGAAGGGGCUGGGGAAAGCUUGAACCCAAUUCCUACAAUGAUUAAUAUAAGCACAAUUGAAAUUCCUGAGGAGUCAUACAUUUAUGUAUUGAUAAGGCCAAGUCGUGGUAAUACAAAGGAUGCAAGCGUUAUCCGGAAUGAUUGGGCAUAAAGUGUCUAUAGGUGGCUUUUUAAGUCCGCCGUCAAAUCCCAGGGCUCAACUAUGGACAGGCGGUGGAAACUGCCAAGCUGGAGUACAGUAGGGGCAGAGGGAAUUUCCAGUGGAGCAGUGAAAUGCGUAGAGAUCGGAAAGAACACCAAUGGUGAAAGCACUCUGCUGGGCUGAUACUAACACUAAGAGAUGAAAGCUAGGGGAGCGAAUGGGAUUAGAUACCCAAUAAUCCUAGCAGUAAACGAUGGAUACUGGGCGCUGUGCGUAUCGACCUGUGCAGUGCUAUAGCUAACGUGUUAAGUAUCCCACCUAGGGAGUACGUUCGCAAGAAUGAAACUCAAAGGAAUUGAUGGGGGCCCACACAAGUGGUGGAGCAUAUGAUUUGAUUCGAUGCAAAGCGAAGAACCUUACAAGGGCUUGACAUGUCGUGAAUCAUCUUGAAAGAGAGGGAUGCCAUCGGGAACAUGGACACAGGUGGUGCAUGGCUGUCGUCAGCUCGUGCCAUAAGGUGUUGGGUUAAGUCCCGCAACGAGUGCAACCCUCGUGUUUAGUUGUCACUGUUGAGUUUGGAACCCUGAGCAGAUUGUCGGCGAUAAGCCGAAGGAAGGUGAGGAUGACGUCAAGUCAUCAUGCCCUUUAUGCCCUGGGCGACACAUGUGCUACAAUGGCCGGGACAAAGGGUCGCGAUCCCGCAAGGGUGAGCUAACUCCAAAAACCCGUCCUCAGUUUAGAUUGCAGGCUGCAACUCGCCUGUAUGAAGCCGGAAUCACUAGUAUGCUCGGGGAUGGAAAUGAGGGAAUGUCUAUAAUACCUGCAUUGAAUCAGAUACAAU